CCGGACUUAACCUUCAACCCUAGUCAACUCACUGUUUCAGGCACACUCCCAGUGGCUUGGAGGGGACGUUAAGUGAGGUCCUGUCGUGGAGAAGGCAAUCCUCCACCAGAUGUUAGGUUUCAGCCUCUCACCAUCCUCCACUUCCGGCUCUGGGAGCCACUCGUCGUCCUCCCCUUGCUCCGCCUCCCUCCCCGGCGUCCCCUCUACGGUCCGCUAGGGGGCGCGCGCUCCCGCUCCCCGGCACCCGGGGCGACUUGGACGGGGGGGUGACUCGGAACUCGGAUGCACCGUCCACCGGCCGCAGCUUCUGUGGGCUGGGACACUGAGUAUUGCUUCCCCUACCGUCAGUAAUCCUGGAGUUUCGGUUCUCAAAAAUGCGACUUAAUCGAGAAGAAUGACUGCCAUUACUUGGUCUCCUGACUUCCAGGACUCUGGUCUCCCCCGGGACCCAAACCAGGCUCGGAAAUGCGGCCGCGCCUCCCUGGCGUCCACAGCCCUGGAUUUGCAAGAGAAGUAUUCUAGCUGCGGGGUGGCGAAUAACCCAGAGUGGACGUGGGCAGGAAGUUCCCGUUGUGGCUCAGCGGUAAGGAACCUGGCGAGUAUCUGUGAGGAUGUGGGUUUGAUCCCUGGCCUCCCUCAGUGGGCUAAGGAUCUGAUGAAAGAGUGGAGGUGGGCAGACCACCAGCUAGGAGGCUCUUAAGUGAUGCUGUGAUGGUAGCUUGGGCGAAGUUGGUGGAGAUGGAGAGAGGAGGCAGCNNNNNNNNNNNNNNNNNNNNNNNNNNNNNNNNNNNNNNNNAAUGACGCCAGGCAGGACAGGAUGUGGGGGCUGAUGACACCGACGGAUCAGGGAUGAUGGGUCAGGGACAACAACUAGGAAGGAGUGGCAGAGGGUGAUGCUCCUUCUCCGAGGGCCAGAAGCAUGAGUUCAGCUUUGGACUUGCUAAGUUGGGUGCAUCUUUGAGACAGUCCAAGGGGGUCAAUCAAGGACAUGACGGGUAUAGAGGUCGCAGGGUGGAAGGAAGUCUGGACUACAGGUUGUGAGGUAUCCUGGAAUCUGCUCAUAAUUGAGGCUCUGGGAGUCCCUGGGAGGGUCUGAGGUUGAAGUCUGUAAUCCAUUUUGAAUUACUUUUUGUGAGUCAUGUAAGAUAGAGGUCUGAUUUCAUUUAUCUGCAUGUGGUUUUCCAGUUUUCCCAGCAUCACCUGUUGAAGAGACUGUCUCUUCCUUAUGGAGAGCUCUUCUUGGUCCCCUUCUCAAAGGUUAGUUGCCUGUAUAUGCGGGGAUUUAUUUGGGGGCUAUGUUUUCCCAUGGGUCUUUGCGUUUAUUUUUAAUGUCAGUACCGUACUGUUUGAAUGACUAAACCUUUGUAUGUAACAGCAUUGAAAUCAGAAAGUGUGAAGCCUCUGGCUCUGUUCUCCUCAUGAUUACUUUGUCUAUUCAAGGUCUUUUGUACAAAUUUUAUGAUUUUUUUUUUGAUUUCUGCAAAAAAUGCUCUGAAAUUUUCAUAGUGGU
rnacentral:lncRNA from 1 species